GCCCCAGUCACUGUGAUUUCUGGCCUACUUGUGUCUAGUCAGUCACUUGGGAAGCUCACUGCGGGCUGGCACCCCCAGACUGGCAGAUAAAACAAGUCAAGGGCUGGCUGCUGGAGGGUCCCAGGAGCUCAAAGGGAAUAGUGCAAGACCACCAAACGCCAAGCCUGUGUAGGGGCAACCAGAUAUUUGUCUCCAGGAGCAACCAGCUUGUUUUGAAUUUGCUCUGAAAUCUAAAGUUAACUGUCUGCGUAGAAGGCUGUCAGUUGUGACUGAGAAUCCUGUGUCGAUCUGAGAGGUUCCAGGCUUACCUGAACUCUAGAAUUAACCUGUUCCUGCCUAAGAAGCUCCCUCCUGUCAAACUCUCCCAGCCAGUGCUGCUGCUAUGGGAUUUUGUUCAUGGGGCCCCAAACCAGCAGAGCUUUUCCAAAUCCUGACAAGAUAUCGCAAGUCACUCCUUAUUUAAGAGGCCAUGGAAAUUCAUAGUAGCUAUGGAGGACUGGUCCCAGAACCUAUGGAUGCUCACAUUCCUCAUACAGAGUAAUAUAACAUUUGCACAUAAGUUCUGGGCAGGUGCAGUGACCACAGUCAGCCAUGUGAAUAAGAGGAUACAAUCAGAGCUCUGGGAAGGUACAGUGACCACAGUCAGCCAUGUGACUAAGAGGACAUGACCAGAGACCAGAGUCCUGGGCAGGUACAGUGACCACAGUCAGCUAUGUGACUCAGAGGACAUGACCAGAGCUCUGGAGUGUCCUAUUACUGAGCUUUGAUGUUAGGUAGCUUAAAAUGUUAUUUCCUACUUAGGAUAUUUUCAUCUGUAAUGGGCCCAAUGAUCUGUAACCCAUCAGAACUCAAGAACACUGUACUCCCUAACUGCAGGCUGAAAGUUU